rfam:Verticillium longisporum isolate VL1 genome assembly, contig: scaffold_437
UCAUAUGAUGAAUCCAGAUAGGGACAGCUUACACCUUUGGUGGUUGAUGCGAACCUUGGACCAGUAUUUUAGUAGAUGCUUUGGCUUUCUGACA